rnacentral:rRNA from 1 species
UUGAACGCUGGCGGCAGGCCUAACACCUGCAAGUCGAGCGGAUGAAGGGAGCUUGCUCCUGGAUUCAGCGGCGGACGGGUGAGUAAUGCCUAGGAAUCUGCCUGGUAGUGGGGGAUAACGUCCGGAAACGGGCGCUAAUACCGCAUACGUCCUGAGGGAGAAAGUGGGGGAUCUUCGGACCUCACGCUAUCAGAUGAGCCUAGGUCGGAUUAGCUAGUUGGUGGGGUAAAGGCCUACCAAGGCGACGAUCCGUAACUGGUCUGAGAGGAUGAUCAGUCACACUGGAACGGAGACACGGUCCAGACUCCUACGGGAGGCAGCAGUGGGGAAUAUUGGACAAUGGGCGAAAGCCUGAUCCAGCCAUGCCGCGUGUGUGAAGAAGGUCUUCGGAUUGUAAAGCACUUUAAGUUGGGAGGAAGGGCAGUAAGUUAAUACCUUGCUGUUUUGACGUUACCAACAGAAUAAGCACCGGCUAACUUCGUG